rnacentral:lncRNA from 1 species
AGAUAGUAAAGGGCUUUGGGUAGUGAAUGAUUCUUCUUCAUGUAGGUAACCAGAAAGUUGCCUGUGAACCCUGAGAGAGGUGGUAUGACUCGCUUCUUUGUGCAGAUCAUGUCACUAGCUGGACAGACUGGCCUUCUUGCCGUGGGAGUUGUCAGGUGGGAGAUACACAGUGCGUGCGCUUAAGGAUGGGGAAAAGCAGAAAGAGCUCUGUAGCUGUGAAGCCUUGUAGCAUGGAAUUGGUUGGGCUCUGCAUAGGCGCUUGAGGAAACCUGCACAAGAACAGCCAGGUCACGGUCUUCAGAACUUCUGCUUUCAUUGGCUGCACAGAGGAAAUCUUGAAUUAUACUUGCUUGGAUACCAGUCACCUUGUGCCACUGAAUUCAGUGGGAGUUUUACCCAUGAGAUCCCAAGAAGACACCAUGAAUAUAUCACAACUCAAAACAAGCAAUGACUUAAGUGUCGGUCUCCUUCUGUUAUUGAGAACUGGAUACUCCAGAGUAAUGCUCUCAGCACUGUCUCCUUCAUUUAUCAGCACCCUAAAAGGUUGUACUGCCACCUUCACAACUCAUACCCCAGGUAAGCUCAUAUGUGUGUCUUGGAUAUCAA